GUGCGAGUAGCUCAGUCGAGUAGAGCGCAAUCCUUCACGGAUUGAGGUCGCGGGUUCGAGUCCUGCCUCGCGCG
rnacentral:tRNA from 2 species